rnacentral:rRNA from 1 species
UGACCUCUGACCUCAAAUCAGGUAGGACUACCCGCUGAACUUAAGCAUAUCAAUAAGCGGAGA